AACGCGAAGAACCUUACCUACUCUUGACAUCCAGAGAACUUUCCAGAGAUGGAUUGGUGCCUUCGGGAACUCUGAGACAGGUGCUGCAUGGCUGUCGUCAGCUCGUGUUGUGAAAUGUUGGGUUAAGUCCCGCAACGAGCGCAACCCUUAUCCUUUGUUGCCAGCGGUUCGGCCGGGAACUCAAAGGAGACUGCCAGUGAUAAACUGGAGGAAGGUGGGGAUGACGUCAAGUCAUCAUGGCCCUUACGAGUAGGGCUACACACGUGCUACAAUGGCAUAUACAAAGAGAAGCGACCUCGCGAGAGCAAGCGGACCUCAUAAAGUAUGUCGUAGUCCGGAUUGGAGUCUGCAACUCGACUCCAUGAAGUCGGAAUCGCUAGUAAUCGUAGAUCAGAAUGCUACGGUGAAUACGUUCCCGGGUCUUGUACACACCG
rnacentral:rRNA from 1 species